UACGGGGGGGGGCGUAGCGUUGCUCGGAAUCACUGGGCGUAAAGGGUGCGUAGGCGGGUCUUUUAAGUCAGGGGUGAAAUCCUGGAGCUCAACUCCAGAACUGGCCUUUGAUACUGAAGAUUCUUGAGUUCGGGGAGAGGUGAGUGGAGCUGCGAGUGUAGAGGUGAAAUUCGUAGAUAUUCGCAAGAACACCAGUGGCGAAGGCGGCUCACUGGCCCGAUACUGACGCUGAGGCACGAAAGCGUGGGGGAGCAAACAGG
rnacentral:rRNA from 1 species